rnacentral:rRNA from 1 species
UACGUAGGGUGCGAGCGUUAAUCGGAAUUACUGGGCGUAAAGAGCUCGUAGGCGGUCUGUCACGUCGGCUGUGAAAUCCCGAGGCUCAACCUCGGGUCUGCAGUCGAUACGGGCAGACUAGAGUAUUGCAGGGGAGACUGGAAUUCCUGGUGUAGCGGUGAAAUGCGCAGAUAUCAGGAGGAACACCGGUGGCGAAGGCGGGUCUCUGGGCAGUAACUGACGCUGAGGAGCGAAAGCGUGGGUAGCGAACAGG